rnacentral:antisense_RNA from 1 species
CUUCAACGACCCCAGCCACAACGGCUGCCCCGAGGCCCGGUCCUGACCGUAGGUCGCCAGCAACGCCUGCGCCUC